UGGGGAAUAUUGCACAAUGGGCGCAAGCCUGAUGCAGCCAUGCCGCGUGUGAAGAAGGCCUUCGGGUUGUAAAGCACUUUCAGCGAGGAGGAAGGUGGUGAGCUUAAUACGCUCAUCAAUUGACGUUACUCGCAGAAGAAGCACCGGCUAACUCCGUGCCAGCAGCCGCGGUAAUACGGAGGGUGCAAGCGUUAAUCGGAAUUACUGGGCGUAAAGCGCACGCAGGCGGUUUGUUAAGUCAGAUGUGAAAUCCCCGGGCUCAACCUGGGAACUGCAUUUGAAACUGGCAAGCUAGAGUCUCGUAGAGGGGGGUAGAAUUCCAGGUGUAGCGGUGAAAUGCGUAGAGAUCUGGAGGAAUACCGGUGGCGAAGGCGGCCCCCUGGACGAAGACUGACGCUCAGGUGCGAAAAGCGUGGGGAGCAAAACAGGAUUAGAUACCCUGGUAGUCCACGCUGUAAAACGAUGUCGAUUUUGGAGGUUGUGCCCUUGAGGCGUGGCUUCCGGAGCUAACGCGUUAAAUCGACCGCCUGGGGAGUACGGCCGCAAGGUU
rnacentral:rRNA from 1 species